GAGAUCGUCCUGGGGCAGUUUGCACGCUGAUGGCCCAAGGUCCGCGACCCAGGUUCGCUUGAGUCUCUAUCAGAGGGCAAGUUAUCAGGUGCCCAGAGAUGGAAGCCACCCUGACUGGGGAUGAGCAGUUACUUCACCAACUCAAACUGGCUUAGACGGUCAGUGCUACCACCUGGCAUGUCAACAAAGGAUGGAGGAAGUGCAGUGCUGCUCCCCGCAAUGAUAUGAGCUGCAAUGGUGUCCUUUGGGCUGAUUUCCUCUCUCCACCCACGUCCGAAGUUUUGGGGCGU
rnacentral:lncRNA from 1 species